GAAAUUUUUUACAGUGCAGAGAUUCAGUGCUGCUGUCAUCGUCGGGAUUAUGUUUAUGAUGGAGGGAAGUACUAAACACUGAUACUGAAAUACAGAGAGAUGAUGAGAUACUGUGGAAGAUUGGAGAUGAAGUCCUCCGCAUUGAUCGCUUUAACAGACGUGUUGACUGCAGAUGGAGAAACAUUUCUGUGAAUGAUAACGCAGACCUCAUCAUCGCUAACAUCCAGAGUGAUCAGUUUCAAAAGCGCUUUGAAGAAACGACAGUAUAAGGUUAAGGAUGUGAAAGUAGAUGUCCUUCAUUAAUACCAGACAGGUAAUUAAGUGAACUGAAACAGAACAGCAGUAUUUUAUAGUCACUAUAACAAUGUACACAUAAAGAGUUACUGAAUUCAAUCCAUUUUUUUAUGAAACUAAUGAGUAAAGACUUUCUUUUGCUGUGACACAAACAGAUAAGCAUGCUUUGAUUUAUGAUGAAAUUGAUGUAACCGUUUGUGCUGAUGCUGAUAUUGCACUAUUGAUAUUAUGUUGGGGGUUUUUUUGUACUAAGAGUCAGUUUGACUGAUUUAUGUGCUUUCAUUUUU